ACAGAGGCCAGUUGUCCAGCUCUAACUAAACUGAGCUACAGAGGCCAGUUGUCCAGCUCUAACUAAACUGAGCUACAGAGGCCAGUUGUCGAGCUCUAACUAAACUGAGCUACAGAGGCCAGUUGUCCAGCUCUAACUAAACUGAGCUACAGAGGCCAGUUGUCGAGCUCUAAACGCAAGUUCAUGUGUAUAAUAAAUCUAAUAAAUGUAUAAAAUUCACAGUCCCAAUUUCCAUCUACAAAACAUUUCUACAAAUGAGUUAUAGUCAUGAGUAUAUAGACGCCCAAAAUCCUGAAAUUUUCUUAAAAGCUAGUCCAUACUUUCACUGAGAUCGGGAGAUGUGAAGAAGGCAUCAUAAUGCCUAUCAUGUUGCAUGGAUCAUAUGACUACAAUAAUGACUACAGCACAAUAACUAUAUGAUUUCAAGUAUACUGAUGAUCAUAGAUAGGAUAAAAACUACCAACGGCAUAUAUAGAUACAGUAAACAGAACCUUUCACAAACCUCAGGGAAGUUUGCAAUCGCUGGUUCAACAAUCAAGGAACUCCAAUCUAUAGUAGUUCUUCAAAAAAUUAAAUGGCUUGAAAAACGACCCAUUUAUGAGUUAUUUGGCGAAGUAAUAUUUAAAUAAACGUUGUCUAUGCCGAGAAAAUCAAAGCUAACGUUUUUGUAAAUGCAUGAACAUGAUUUUUAUCACAUUAUGACUAUAAAUGAGUUUUUUUAAUAUUUGACAUUAUGAUACAAUCAACUAUUUUUCGCUCUCAUGCAUGCAGCAUAACUUCUGAGACAAAGACACUGAAUGCAGUAAUCAAUUAACUAUUUUAAAAAUUGUUCAUUAAUUAAAUAAUUACAUUACUGACAUUGGUUGUUAAUUUAU
rnacentral:lncRNA from 1 species